rnacentral:rRNA from 1 species
GAUGAACGCUGGCGGCGUGCCUAAUACAUGCAAGUCGAGCGAACAGACGAGGAGCUUGCUCCUCUGACGUUAGCGGCGGACGGGUGAGUAACACGUGGAUAACCUACCUAUAAGACUGGGAUGACUUCGGGAAACCGGAGCUAAUACCGGAUAAUAUAUUGAACCGCAUGGUUCAAUAGUGAAAGACGGUUUUGCUGUCACUUAUAGAUGGAUCCGCGCCGCAUUAGCUAGUUGGUAAGGUAACGGCUUACCAAGGCAACGAUGCGUAGCCGACCUGAGAGGGUGAUCGGCCACACUGGAACUGAGACACGGUCCAGACUCCUACGGGAGGCAGCAGUAGGGAAUCUUCCGCAAUGGGCGAAAGCCUGACGGAGCAACGCCGCGUGAGUGAUGAAGGUCUUCGGAUCGUAAAACUCUGUUAUUAGGGAAGAACAAAUGUGUAAGUAACUAUGCACGUCUUGACGGUACCUAAUCAGAAAGCCACGGUUAACUACGUG